CAGUAUUUUCUCCAUCAAGGGCACAAGCCCCACUGCAGACAGAGGACACUGUGCAUUGCAUGAAGAUGAAAGGGAGUGGAUCAUGGGCUUGAUGAGGAAUCAAAUCACUACCCACCUGGAGACAGAGAACUUGAAUCUAGAUUUGUGAGACCCAAGUGGGACUUUCCAGAUGACCACUGCUCACAGGAUUAGAAGAUACCUUAUGAGCAGGCUGCACCCUGUUCUCAGUAAUGGAGAUAGCAUGUGUGUGUAAGACUCAAAUGAAAUCAGCUUACUGAAGAAAGUGCCGACUCACAGUUUCAGGGACAUGGGUUCUAAUUCUACUCCUGCCUGCACUUUUGACAUUUAGAGCGAAAUCUUUCUGUAACUAGGCAACAUGGUUUCACUUUGAACAAAAGGACUCCAGCAUCACCUUCUCAGGACACAAGCUGGUCAUUAUUCUUCUUGGACGCACAAGCAUUAUUACCUUCAAAGUCUCUAUUUUCCCACAGAGCCAAAGCUUCAGCUCUUCUGUUCACUUCCUGGAAUGAGCUUUUCACUAAUACUGUUUUUCUCUCCGAGUUCCUCCCUUCAGGAGAGAAUGUAAGAAGCCAGCUCUUCAUGCAGUUUCCAUAGCUUCACCCCUCACCCAGAAAAUCUUAAGGAUUGUAGAUUUAGUAGGGCAGUGCCACAGUGUCGUCGCCAAAAUGGAUUUGAAAAAUCUUAACUUGGCCUGCUAGGCAGAGAUUCCAUCAUCAGUAUUUUCAUCAUAGAUUUUUAUUUCAUAUUUUUUCCAGUAGGAAGAAAGAAAAAUAUAAGUAUGUAGAAGGCAUUUACUACAGGCUUCUUCAAAAACAAAUAGAGUCAAGUUCAAUCUUUGUCCACAUUUCUUAUGAAACCAUUCCCCAGGGAGUUGCAUGCUGAAGAUUUCACGGAGGAGGGAGGAGUAAAGGGGUCCUUAAAGAAAGUACAAGGCUGAAAGUUGUGUCUAAAGUUGAUUAAGAAAGAUCUCCUUUUCUUUAGUUGGCUUCCUAAGAAAAUUAAGAGAAUAUGGAAAAGAAUUGGUAAAUGUGCCAGAGAGGCCAACCCUUUUGCUCCAAGAAUAGACUAGAUAAAUGUCAUUGUUUCUUUAUCCAAAAUUUUAACUUUAUUAAGAGAUGAAAACAGCAGACUUUGCUUUUCAAAUUACUUAAAUUUGCAUUUGAAAACGUGAGUUCUUCUUCAUUGCCUAAAUAAGUAUAGAGGAAUAGAGUGAAAAAUCAAUUCUUCAACAU